AUUGAACGCUGGCGGCAUGCCUUACACAUGCAAGUCGAACGGUAACGCGGGGCAACCUGGCGACGAGUGGCGAACGGGUGAGUAACACAUCGGAACGUGCCCAGUAGUGGGGGAUAGCCCGGCGAAAGCCGGAUUAAUACCGCAUACGACCUAAGGGUGAAAGCAGGGGACCGCAAGGCCUUGCGCUAUUGGAGCGGCCGAUGUCAGAUUAGCUAGUUGGUGGGGUAAAAGCCUACCAAGGCGACGAUCUGUAGCUGGUCUGAGAGGACGACCAGCCACACUGGGACUGAGACACGGCCCAGACUCCUACGGGAGGCAGCAGUGGGGAAUUUUGGACAAUGGGCGCAAGCCUGAUCCAGCCAUGCCGCGUGCGGGAAGAAGGCCUUCGGGUUGUAAACCGCUUUUGUCAGGGAAGAAACGGUCUGGGUUAAUACCCUGGGCUAAUGACGGUACCUGAAGAAUAAGCACCGGCUAACUACGUGCCAGCAGCCGCGUAAAGCUACGUAGA
rnacentral:rRNA from 1 species